GCCGGGCGCGGUGGCUCACGCCUGUAAUCCCAGCACUUUGGGAGGCUGAGGUGGGUGGAUCACCUGAGGUCAGGAGUUUAAGACUACUAGCCUGACCAACAUGGUGAAACCCCGUCUCUA
ensembl:misc_RNA Metazoa_SRP Metazoan signal recognition particle RNA